rnacentral:rRNA from 1 species
CAAAGAUUUAUCGGCAAAGGAUGGGCCUGCGUCUGAUUAGCUAGUUGGUAAGGUAACGGCUUACCAAGGCGACGAUCAGUAGCCGACCUGAGAGGGUGAACGGCCACAUUGGAACUGAGACACGGUCCAAACUCCUACGGGAGGCAGCAGUGGGGAAUAUUGCACAAUGGGCGAAAGCCUGAUGCAGCAACGCCGCGUGAAGGAAGAAGGCCUUCGGGUCGUAAACUUCUGUCCUUGGGGAAGAAGAACUGACGGUACCCAAGGAGGAAGCCCCGGCUAACUACGUGCCAGCAGCCGCGGUAAUACGUAGGGGGCAAGCGUUAUCCGGAAUUAUUGGGCGUAAAGAGUACGUAGGUGGCAACCUAAGCGCAGGGUUUAAGGCAAUGGCUCAACCAUUGUUCGCCCUGCGAACUGGGAUGCUUGAGUGCAGGAGAGGAAAGCGGAAUUCCUAGUGUAGCGGUGAAAUGCGUAGAUAUUAGGAGGAACACCAGUGGCGAAGGCGGCUUUCUGGACUGUAACUGACACUGAGGUACGAAAGCGUGGGGAGCAAACAGGAUUAGAUACCCUGGUAGUCCACGCCGUAAACGAUGAGCACUAGGUGUCGGGGUCGCAAGACUUCG